ACUUUUACCUUGAAAACAUUUGUAAUCAAACGAUUCUGAAUGCUAUUUUCUGAGCGAUUGCUUCCAAGUGAUUCACAUGGAGGAAGCCAUUAUUCACAACAGUGAGUAAACAGUCGCUGAAAAUAGAGUUUUUGUCAAUAUUCAAGGAUGUCAUCUUGCGGAAAUAUAAACUAAUAGUAACCAUGUCAUCACAAACCCCUAAGCGUAUAUGCUGCAGGUCAAAUAUCUGUGUUUUAUGCAGAUUUUCAUUUGCUGAGAGAUCAGUGUCAGCGACCUGGGAAGGGAAAAUCCAAAAACAUUUUAAGUCUUGACAAACCCGAAAUUUGA